UACGUCGUUGUUUUUAUCAUAAAGGUCCAUAAUAUCUCAUAUGAAAUAAACACUCUGGAAAAGUAACAGUAACCCACAAUCGAUACAGUCUUCGGUACGUAACUUUCUUCGUUCGUGUUCAUGAUUUGAUUGAACUUGUUGAAGUUGACAACGAGCCACUGCUUGCAGCCAGUACCGGAAUUGCUCCGCGCGAUGGUGUGGCCCCAGGAACUAGUGUUCGAAGCGAGGUGAUUAGCGGCUGUUAUACGAGGACCGAUAGGAACCUGAAAUGUUAUUUUUGUAUUGUAAAAUUGAUUUACUAUAAUAUAUAACUUGGGGAGGCCUA